GGGGGUGCUUUUUUGUAACUUGUUUGGUAACAGCAGAACCACUGUACUACGAAAAGGCAUCGUUCAAGCAUCAAGACAUUCCUCUAUCUGGCGACAAAAACAUCCCCUUUCUGAGGAGAAAGAAGAACAGACUCUCGCGCCAUGGUCUGACUGCUGAUCAAAGCCAGCAUCUGGACGGUGAGGAAGAUCCGGGCCCACAUUGCUGAGAGAGAGCAAGAGGAGAAGGCCAUCGUCACACCAUGUGGUGUUAUUGGCUUUAAGAAGGAGCAGUUGACGUCAGGUUCUGAUCCACUGGCGGCCAUAAUGACCCCUGAACCUGAUGAUGUCAUCGCUAACGGCGGCCCGGCGCCGUCUUCAGCGAAAGCCGUGCAGAAGUGCGGAUCCUGAGGUUAAAGGUCACACUGGAUAACUGGCUGGGACCAAUAAACUAUUAUUCAACAUGUCUUGAAAAAGGAUGCAUUCACAGAACUGUACGUCGAUAGACACGGUCGCCCUGUUUCUAGCUCCUAGCCAACUUUGCAGUAUGUAGAUUUGUUUGUGUUAUUUCUUACGUUAUUCGCGCAGAACGUUUCUAGUAUUAUUACCUACAUCCGAAAAUAACUUUUGGACAUUAACAAAAUUGACCAGAAAUUCUACUUCACUGAUCUGGACUGUCUAUAAACACCAUUCACAUACAUUAUUUAGAAUUUGGACUCUGACAUUGCUCAUUCUGAUAAGUCUUAAUUUCUUGUUAUUUUUAAAAACGUGCCAGCCUCUGUCCAGUGUGCCCAUACUCAGCAGACCAAAUACUAAGCUGAGAUACCUGCUGUAACUCCAACUUUCACUCACAUCAGUCACUAAGUCAGUGUGAGGAUUGUGUGAAAUUAUGAAGUUUUCAUAUACACUGAUCUCAGGUCAGUAUUGGGUCCAGUGAGCUCUGUUUAACCUCUGACCCCAGAUGACCCUUGUGGCUGCAGCGUGUGAAGGCCUGCUCACCAACCCCUCCACCCAGGGACUGAGCUGGCCUGAUGCCCCUGCUGCAGCUUCACCAAUAAAAAGUGUCAAUAAAAACCUCUAAACUA